AACGAACGCUGGCGGCAUGCCUAACACAUGCAAGUCGAACGAAGCCUUCGGGCUUAGUGGCGCACGGGUGCGUAACGCGUGGGAAUCUGCCCUCUGGUACGGAAUAACUCAGGGAAACUUGAGCUAAUACCGUAUAAUGACUUCGGUCCAAAGAUUUAUCGCCUGAGGAUGAGCCCGCGUCGGAUUAGCUAGUUGGUGAGGUAAAAGCUCACCAAGGCGACGAUCCGUAGCUGGUCUGAGAGGAUGAUCAGCCACACUGGGACUGAGACACGGCCCAGACUCCUACGGGAGGCAGCAGUGGGGAAUAUUGGACAAUGGGCGAAAGCCUGAUCCAGCAAUGCCGCGUGAGUGAUGAAGGCCUUAGGGUUGUAAAGCUCUUUUACCCGGGAUGAUAAUGACAGUACCGGGAGAAUAAGCCCCGGCUAACUCCGUGCCAGCCGCCGCCGUAACAC
rnacentral:rRNA from 1 species